rnacentral:hammerhead_ribozyme from 1 species
AUCCAGUUGAUAAGUCCCAAAUAGAACAAAACGUACGUUCUGGAU